rnacentral:rRNA from 1 species
UACAGAAGCCUCGAGCGUUGUUCGGAAUUACUGGGCGUAAAGGGAAUGUAGGUGGUGGCGUAAGUCAGAUGUGAAAGCCCCAGGCUCAACCUGGGAAGUGCAUUGAUACUGCGUUGCUAGAGUGCGUGAGAGAAGUGGAAUUCCCAGUGUAGGGGUGAAAUCCGUAGAUAUUGGGGAGGAAUACCGAUGGCGAAGGGCAGCUUUCUGGCACGUAACUGAACGACUGAGAUUCGAAAGCGUGGGCUACGCAAACAGG